AUGAGCCGUUGGUGGGUGGCAGACCGGACCGAGUCCGGUGGCGGCUGGAGCCGUCGGGCUUGUUCUCCACCAAGUCACUUUACACGGCCGGUUUGGUCUGUCUGCGUCCCCCUGAAGAUACGCAUUUUCAUGUGGCAGUGGAUUCGCGGUCGGGUCCCGUCUGGAGUGGAGGUCUACAAGCGCAAUGGACCGGGCACCGGUAUCUACCCGCUCUGUGGAGUCCCUGAAGACUCGAACCACAUCUUCUUCUCCUGCAUCUCCGCCCAAUUUCUCUGGAGCUGCUUUCGUGAGGUGGUCGGUGGUAGUUGGUGCCACACCAACUUCCCGGACCUAUUUGUUGAACUCCAGUUGUCCCCCACGUCCUCUCGCCACAUUAGGUGGCUUGAGGUUGGGGUUCUCGCCUGGACGCUUUGGACCGUUCGCAAUAAGCUUGUGAUCCAGCACGCUCCCCUUCAUCGCGCUACUGACGCUCUCUACAAAUUCUCAGGUUUCUUGCAGCUUUGGCGGCCGCUUAGCCGCCCCCCCGGACCGUGA
rnacentral:rRNA from 1 species